rnacentral:siRNA from 1 species
GAUAAAUGAUGAAACAAACAGGGC